rnacentral:rRNA from 1 species
AAAGCCGAGAUAGCAAGUUGAACCAGUUCCCCGCGGAUCACUGAAGCAACGUUGCGCGUGGUUAGUAUCCGGAUGGGUGACCAUCGGGGCAAUCGCGUGCUUCUGGCUGUU